AUAACUUUACAUAUAAUUAUUAACACCUAGUGCCCUACAGACUUAGCUUACAUAAACGGCCUUGCCAAUGAAAGAGACCAAGUGCCUAUGCACCAACUUGCCCACAGGGUUCUGGCCUCCCCCCUCGUCCAAACCAAAUUGCCUUUUCCUUUCAAUGCUUACCACCAGCUGGCUUUUAGCUCGGUGGGCACGUCCAAGUCGGUAACCUAAUAGUUUACCCUACAGAGCAGGGGAGGUUGAGACCCAACCUUGUCCAUAUCCUGACACACCAUGUAAUAGCCCCCAAAAACCUAUUGGCAAGGACACGCCCCCCGUUAGCUGUGUCAUAGACAGUAACAAAUAGAACAGAGGGUGGAUGGGAGGAAAGUUGUUUGCUGGCCCGUCUUCCAAGAGGCACUGAGGUAAGAUGAUCCCUACACCCAGUGGGGUACUAAGGGGGUGCGGUCCACCCCGGGUGCCACUCACUAGGGGGGUGCCCGGGGCAGAUUGCAAUGCCCCUCCUACGCCCAUCGCUAAGACCGGUCUGCAGCUCCGCAAUGUGCAGAGCUGCAGACCGGAAAUGAUGGCCACCGGACCACCAGG